CCUCAGCGGCCAGGUGCCUCCAAGGCCACAUCUUUAGAUGUCGUCUGCUCAUUCUGCAAGAAGGCAGGACACCAUAGAGAUGGUUGUUUCAAGCUUCAUCCAGAGCUGUUAGCUGAGUUUCAGGCUAGACGGGCCCUCAAUCAGCAGCGUCGUGCACCCCAGGCUCCUUAUCAGCAGCAAGCGAGGGGUGCUUCUGCAUCUGUUCUCUCUCAGCCCGCCGUUGCUGCAACCCAGCCUUGGGUUUUGGAUUCUGGAGCUUCUUUCCAUGUGACCUCUGAUCGCUCUCAGCUUGUGUCUUGCCAGCCAGUGCGGGAUGGUGCCUCUGUUCAGACUGCUGAUGGACCGUCAGAGCAAGAGGGUCAUUGGAACUGGCCAUCGCUGUAGAGGAUCCACAUCCCUCUACAUCCUUGACACCUUACACCUUCCUUCAGCUUCCACCACAUCCGCGUUCCGGAUGGUUGCAUCAACAUCAAGAUCCACUUCGUCGUUUUCUUUUGCCCAGUGGCACCAUCGCUUAGGUCACUUGUGUGGUUCUCGUUUAUCUACCCUUGUUUGACAAGGUGUUUUGGGUCAUGUUUCCAUAGAUGCUGGUUUUCAUUGUAAGGGUUGUAAGCUAGGGAAACAAAUACAGCUUCCAUACUCUUCCAGCACUACUCAUUCUAGUCAUCCUUUUGAUUUAGUGCACUCUGAUGUAUGGGGUCCUUCCCCCUUUGUUUCAAAAGGUGGCCACAAACAUUAUGUCAUAUUUGUUGAUGAUCACUCUCGACAUACUUGGGUCUAUUUUAUGAAGCAUCGUUCUGAGUUGUUUUCUA